GCUGGCAUGGUGGCCCUUGCCUGUAAUCUCAGCAACUUGAGAGGCUGAGGCAGGAGGAUCACAAGUUUGAGGUCAGCCUCAGCAACUCAGCAAGACCCUGCCUCAA
rnacentral:sRNA from 1 species